CUUAGUAACGGCGAGUGAAGCGGCAACAGCUCAAAUUUGAAAUCUGGCUCCUUCGGGGUCCGAGUUGUAAUUUGCAGAGGAUGCUUCGAGUUAUGGUUCCUUCCGAGUUCCCUGGAACGGGACGCCAUAGAGGGUGAGAGCCCCGUCUGGUAGGAAACCAUGCUCAUGUGAAGCUCCCUCGACGAGUCGAGUAGUUUGGGAAUGCUGCUCUAAGGGGAGGUAUACUCCUUCCAAGGCUAAAUACCGGCUAGAGACCGAUAGCGCACAAGUAGAGUGAUCGAAAGAUGAAAAGUACUUUGAAAAGAGAGUCAAACAGCACGUGAAAUUGUUAAAAGGGAAGCGCUCGCUACCAGACGUGGGUUCGGUGGUUCAACCAGGUCCAUGACCUGGGGCACUCCGCCGGCCCAGGCCAGCAUCAGCUUUCCGUCGGGGGCAAAGGCGUCGGGAAUGUGGCUCUCCUUCGGGGGAGUGUUAUAGCCCGUCGCGUCAUACCCUUCGGGGGGCUGAGGUACGCGCUCCGCAAGGAU
rnacentral:rRNA from 1 species